ACGGGGUGCAGCAGGCGCGAAAACUUUGCAAUGUGCGAAAGCACGACAAGGUUAAUCCGAGUGGUUUCUGCUAAAGGAACCUUUUGACAGUCCUAGAAACACUGUUGAAUAAGGGGUGGGCAAGUUCUGGUGUCAGCCGCCGCGGUAAAACCAGCACCUCAAGUGGUCAGGAUGAUUAUUGGGCCUAAAGCAUCCGUAGCCGGCUCAGUAAGUUUUCGGUUAAAUCUGUACGCUCAACGUACAGGCUGCCGGGAAUACUGCAGAGCUAGGGAGUGGGAGAGGUAGACGGUACUCGGGAGGAAGUGGUAAAAUGCUUUGAUCUUUCGAUGACCACCUGUGGCGAAGGCGGUCUACCAGAACACGUCCGACGGUGAGGGAUGAAAGCUGGGGGAGCAAACCGGAUUAGAUACCCGGGUAGUCCCAGCUGUAAACUAUGCAAACUCAGUGAUGCAUUGGCUUGUGGCCAAUGCAGUGUUGCAGGGAAGCCGUUAAGUUUGCCGCCUGGAAGUACGUACGCAAGU
rnacentral:rRNA from 1 species